rnacentral:rRNA from 1 species
CAAUAGCGUAUAUUUAAGUUGUUGCAGUUAAAAAGCUCGUAGUUGGAUUUCGGAUGGGAUUUGCCGGUCCGUCGUUACGAUGUGCACUGGCCAGUCCUAUCUUGUUGUCGGGGACUAGCUCCUUGGAUUAACUUCCUGGGACUAGGAGCUGACGAGGUUACUUUGGGUAAAUUAGAGUGUUCAAAGCAAGCCUUCGCUCUGAAUACAUUAGCAUGGAAUAACACGAUAGGACUCUGGCUUAUCUUGUUGGUCUGUGAGACCAGAGUAAUGAUUAAGAGGGACAGUCGGGGACAUUCGUAUUUCAUUGUCAGAGGUGAAAUUCUUGGAUUUAUGAAAGACGAACUUCUGCGAAAGCAUUUGUCAAGGAUGUUUUCAUUAA